GAUGAACGCUGGCGGCGUGCUUAACACAUGCAAGUCGAACGGAAAGGCUCCUGCUUGCAGGGGUACUCGAGUGGCGAACGGGUGAGUAACACGUGGGUGAUCUGCCCUGCACUUCGGGAUAAGCCUGGGAAACUGGGUCUAAUACCGGAUAGGGCCACAUUUUGGAUGGUGUGGUGGAAAGUUUUUCGGUGUGGGAUGAGCUCGCGGCCUAUCAGCUUGUUGGUGGGGUAAUGGCCUACCAAGGCGUCGACGGGUAGCCGGCCUGAGAGGGUGUACGGCCACAUUGGGACUGAGAUACGGCCCAGACUCCUACGGGAGGCAGCAGUGGGGAAUAUUGCACAAUGGGCGCAAGCCUGAUGCAGCGACGCCGCGUGGGGGAUGACGGCCUUCGGGUUGUAAACUCCUUUCGCUAGGGACGAAGCGCAAGUGACGGUACCUGGAGAAGAAGCACCGGCUAACUACGUG
rnacentral:rRNA from 1 species